rnacentral:rRNA from 1 species
UACGUAGGGGGCAAGCGUUGUCCGGAUUUAUUGGGCGUAAAGAGCGUGUAGGCGGCCGUACAGGUCAGCUGUGAAAACUCGAGGCUCAACCUCGAGACGUCGGUUGAAACCGUACGGCUAGAGUCCGGAAGAGGAGAGUGGAAUUCCCGGUGUAGCGGUGAAAUGCGCAGAUAUCGGGAAGAACACCCGUGGCGAAGGCGGCACUCUGGGACGGUACUGACGCUGAGACGCGAAAGCGUGGGGAGCGAACAGG